rnacentral:rRNA from 1 species
AUGCAAGUCGAACGGGAAACUUUUCAUUGAAGCUUCGGCAGAUUUGGUCUGUUUCUAGUGGCGGACGGGUGAGUAACGCGUGGGUAACCUGCCUUAUACAGGGGGAUAACAACCAGAAAUGGUUGCUAAUACCGCAUAAGCGCACAGGACCGCAUGGUCCGGUGUGAAAAACUCCGGUGGUGUAAGAUGGACCCGCGUUGGAUUAGCUAGUUGGCAGGGCAACGGCCUACCAAGGCGACGAUCCAUAGCCGGCCUGAGAGGGUGAACGGCCACAUUGGGACUGAGACACGGCCCAGACUCCUACGGGAGGCAGCAGUGGGGAAUAUUGCACAAUGGGGGAAACCCUGAUGCAGCGACGCCGCGUGAAGGAAGAAGUAUCUCGGUAUGUAAACUUCUAUCAGCAGGGAAGAUAGUGACGGUACCUGACUAAGAAGCCCCGGCUAACUACGUGCCAGCAGCCGCGGUAAUACGUAGGGGGCAAGCGUUAUCCGGAUUUACUGGGUGUAAAGGGAGCGUAGACGGACUGGCAAGUCUGAUGUGAAAGGCGGGGGCUCAACCCCUGGACUGCAUUGGAAACUGUUAGUCUUGAGUGCCGGAGAGGUAAGCGGAAUUCCUAGUGUAGCGGUGAAAUGCGUAGAUAUUAGGAGGAACACCAGUGGCGAAGGCGGCUUACUGGACGGUAACUGA